rnacentral:rRNA from 1 species
CAGAGAGCUUGCUCUCGGGUGACGAGCGGCGGACGGGUGAGUAAUGUCUGGGAAACUGCCUGAUGGAGGGGGAUAACUACUGGAAACGGUAGCUAAUACCGCAUAAUGUCGCAAGACCAAAGUGGGGGACCUUCGGGCCUCAUGCCAUCAGAUGUGCCCAGAUGGGAUUAGCUAGUAGGUGGGGUAACGGCUCACCUAGGCGACGAUCCCUAGCUGGUCUGAGAGGAUGACCAGCCACACUGGAACUGAGACACGGUCCAGACUCCUACGGGAGGCAGCAGUGGGGAAUAUUGCACAAUGGGCGCAAGCCUGAUGCAGCCAUGCCGCGUGUGUGAAGAAGGCCUUCGGGUUGUAAAGCACUUUCAGCGGGGAGGAAGGCGGUGAGGUUAAUAACCUCGUCGAUUGACGUUACCCGCAGAAGAAGCACCGGCUAACUCCGUGCCAGCAGCCGCGGUAAUACGGAGGGUGCAAGCGUUAAUCGGAAUUACUGGGCGUAAAGCGCACGCAGGCGGUCUGUCAAGUCGGAUGUGAAAUCCCCGGGCUCAACCUGGGAACUGCAUUCGAAACUGGCAGGCUAGAGUCUUGUAGAGGGGGGUAGAAUUCCAGGUGUAGCGGUGAAAUGCGUAGAGAUCUGGAGGAAUACCGGUGGCGAAGGCGGCCCCCUGGACAAAGACUGACG